UUCCAUGGCCAUGCCACCCUAAAUAAGCCUGAUAAAGCCUGAUUUUGGAAGCUAAGCAGGGUUGGGGUUGGUCAGCACUUGGAUGGGAGACCACCUAGGAAGACCAGGUGCUGUAAGAG
rnacentral:rRNA from 1 species